CUAACUCCGUGACCAGACAGUCCGCGGUAAUCACGGAGGAUCCAUAGCGUUAUCCGGAUAUCAUCUGGGUUUACAGGGUCCGUAGGCGGUUUGGUAAGUCAGUGGUGAAAGACCCUAUCGCUCAACGGUGGAACGGCGCAUUGAGUACUGCCCAGGACUUGAAUUAUUAGGAAGUAACUAGAAUAUGUAGUGUAGCGGUGAAAUGCUUAGAGAUUACAUGGAAUACCAAUUGCGAAGGCAGGUUACUACUAUGGAUUGACGCUGAUGGACG
rnacentral:rRNA from 1 species